UACGUGAGGUGGCAAGCGUUGUCCGGAUUUACUGGGCGUAAAGAGCGCGCAGGCGGUCGUUCAAGUCGCGUGUGAAAGCCCCCGGCUCAACUGGGGAGGGUCACGCGAUACUGAUCGACUCGAAGGCAGGAGAGGGUAGUGGAAUUCCCGGUGUAGUGGUGAAAUGCGUAGAUAUCGGGAGGAACACCAGUGGCGAAGGCGGGUCUCUGGGCCGAUACUGACGCUGAGGAGCGAAAGCGUGGGGAGCGAACAGG
rnacentral:rRNA from 1 species